AUGAAUAUAUUUUGAUGAUUUUUAAGAGUAGGAAUCUCAUUGAGCUUCAGUCAUUCGUUGCAUUGAAAUUAAAAUUAUCUCUAACUGAAUAAAUUUGU